GCUGGCGGCAGGCCUAACACAUGCAAGUCGAACGGAGUUAUAUUGUAGCUUGCUAUGGUAUAACUUAGUGGCAGACGGGUGAGUAAUGUAUAGGAAUCUACCUAGUAGUACGGAAUAAUUGUUGGAAACGGCAACUAAUACCGUAUACGCCCUACGGGGGAAAAAUUUAUUGCUAUUAGAUGAGCCUAUAUUAGAUUAGCUAGUUGGUGGAGUAAUAGCCUACCAAGGCAAUGAUCUAUAGCUGAUCUGAGAGGAUGAUCAGCCACACUGGAACUGAGAUACGGUCCAGACUCCUACGGGAGGCAGCAGUGGGGAAUAUUGGACAAUGGGCGAAAGCCUGAUCCAGCCAUGCCGCAUGAGUGAAGAAGGCCUUUGGGUUGUAAAGCUCUUUUAGUGAGGAAGAUAAUGACGGUACUCACAGAAGAAGUCCUGGCUAACUCCGUGCCAGCAGCCGCGGUAAUACGGAGAGGGCUAGCGUUAUUCGGAAUUAUUGGGCGUAAAGGGCGCGUAGGCGGAUUAGUAAGUUAAAAGUGAAAUCCCAAGGCUCAACCUUGGAAUUGCUUUUAAAACUGCUAAUCUAGAGAUUGAAAGAGGAUAGAGGAAUUCCUAGUGUAGAGGUGAAAUUCGUAAAUAUUAGGAGGAACACCAGUGGCGAAGGCGUCUAUCUGGUUCAAAUCUGACGCUGAGGCGCGAAGGCGUGGGGAGCAAACAGGAUUAGAUACCCUGGUAGUCCACGCUGUAAACGAUGAAUGUUAAAUAUGGGAAGUUUUACUUUCUGUAUUACAGCUAACGCGUUUAACAUUCCGCCUGGGGACUACCGUCGCAAGAUUAAAACUCA
rnacentral:rRNA from 1 species